AACGAACGCUGGCGGCAUGCCUAACACAUGCAAGUCGAACGAGACCUUCGGGUCUAGUGGCGCACGGGUGCGUAACGCGUGGGAACCUGCCCUUAGGUUCGGAAUAACUCCCCGAAAGGUGUGCUAAUACCGGAUAAUGUCUUCGGACCAAAGAUUUAUCGCCUUUGGAUGGGCCCGCGUUGGAUUAGCUAGUUGGUAGGGUAAAAGCCUACCAAGGCGACGAUCCAUAGCUGGUCUGAGAGGAUGAUCAGCCACACUGGGACUGAGACACGGUCCAGACUCCUACGGGGGGCAGCAGUGGGGAAUAUUGGACAAUGGGCGAAAGCCUGAUCCAGCAAUGCCGCGUGAGUGAUGAAGGCCUUAGGGUUGUAAAGCUCUUUUACCCGGGAUGAUAAUGACAGUACCGGGAGAAUAAGCUCCGGCUAACUACGUG
rnacentral:rRNA from 1 species